CCACCGCCUGCCCUCCAGACUCCACCCACAGAGGAGGAAGAGGAGGAGCCAAACACGCAGAACCGCCCAACUGCCGCGCCCAAAGCCUCCAGCAGCUCCAGCUCAGAGGAGGAGAGCGAAUCGGAGAGCGACGCGGAGUCAGAAAAAGCAAAAACCCGAGAGCUGAUCAACAACCUGAACAACAAGCGCAACAAUCCAACUCCAUUAGCGACCGCCACGGCAACCAGCACUGCGGUGAACCAGGUCAAAAAGACAGAACCGGUGCGCGCAGCGGUGAGUGAGGCUCCGGGCUCCUGGCGAACGUCCCUGCGUAAGGCGGGCAGCUCCGUGGCGCUGGGCUCGUCCGGAGCGUCCGACGUGGGUGUGGAGGCCCUGCGUGGACCAGACAGCGCUGCAGCCAUGACGCGCUCGGCCUCCAGUCCCAAACUCAGCUCGCACAACGACACCAAGGAGCCCCGGCUGGCGCGAGUGCAGCCCACUCCAUCCAGACGCCUGUUCAGUGUUGGAGAUACAAACACCAGCACCAACCCCACCUCAGACAGCUCCAGCAGGUGUGUGUGUGUGUGCGCCUUUGUUGGUGUCAUGU
ensembl:lncRNA